rnacentral:rRNA from 1 species
GAUCAUUAAUGAGUUGUGACGGGGUUUGAUGCUGGCAGCCAAUUUUUGGAUGCAUGUGCUUGCCCCAACAAUCAUUUUCCAAACACCCGUGCACACUUUUGAGGGAGUUUUGAGCUUUAUUGUCACUCUUGGUAAUUUGCUCGCAUUCCCUCUAAAUCAUUAUACGCUGUUAACAAUAAUGAACGUGUUUUGUGCCGCAAGGCCAUUAAUAUAAUACAACUUUUAACAACGGAUCUCUUGGCUCUCGCAUCGAUGAAGAACGCAGCGAAAUGCGAUAAGUAAUGUGAAUUGCAGAAUUCAGUGAAUCAUCGAAUCUUUGAACGCACCUUGCGCCCCCUGGUAUUCCGGGGAGCACGCCUGUUCGAGUGUCACGAAAUUUGUCAAGCUUGGAUGGCCUUUUUUGUCUGUCCAUUGGCCUUGGUUGUUGGGCUUUGCCGUGUCCUUUAUUGGAACGGCUGGCCUUAAAAGCAUUAGCUGAUCCUCGUGUGGCACUGGUUCUACUCAGCGUGAUAAUACAUCUGAUCGCUGAGGACAUCUUUCAGGGAUGGCCAGUUCUCAUUUGGGUUGCUUCUAAACCUGGUUUUGCAGAUUCUCGAAUCUGUGUUCCACUUUCAGCUUUGACCUCGAAUCAUGGU